rnacentral:rRNA from 1 species
CCCUAGUAACUGCGAGUGAAGCGGGAAAAGCUCAAAUUUAAAAUCUGGCAGUCUUUGAUUGUCCGAAUUGUAAUUUAGAGAAGCGCUGCCUGCGCCAGACUGUGUAUAAGUCUCCUGGAAUGGAGCGUCAUAGAGGGUGAGAAUCCCGUACAUGACACAGAUUGCUGGGGCACCAAGGUACGCUCUCAAAGAGUCGAGUUGUUUGGGAAUGCAGCUCAAAAUGGGUGGUAAAUUCCAUCUAAAGCUAAAUAUUGGCGAGAAACCGAUAGCGAACAAGUACCGUGAGGGAAAGAUGAAAAGAACUUUGGAAAGAGAGUUAAACAGUACGUGAAAUUGUUGAAAGGGAAACGCUUAAAGUCAGUCGCAUUGAAAGAAAUCACACUUGCUUUGGCUUGUGGCUUUUUCUUAGCAAUGGGUCAGCAUCAGUUUUAGAUUGUUGGAAAAGGGUUGGAGGAAUGUGGCAUCUCUGGAUGUGUUAUAGCCUUCAAUUGCAUACAAUGAUUGAGACUGAGGAACUCAGCACUUGUGCUUAGGAUGCUGGCAUAAUGGCUUUAAUCGACCCGUCUUGA